GACAGAGGUGCCGAGCAUUAGGCGGAAUCACUGGGCUUAAAGCGUGUGUAGGCGGGCCGUUAAGUGCCCCGUGAAAUCCCCCGGCUCAACCGGGGAACGGCGGGGCAUACUGGCGGCCUUGAGGCACCCAGGGGCGAGCGGAACAGGCGGUGGAGCGGUGAAAUGCGUAGAUAUCGCCUGGAACGCCGACGGUGAAAACAGCUCGCUGGGGGUGUGCUGACGCUGAGACACGAAAGCCAGGGGAGCGAACGGG
rnacentral:rRNA from 1 species